rnacentral:rRNA from 1 species
UACGAAGGGGGCUAGCGUUGCUCGGAAUCACUGGGCGUAAAGGGUGCGUAGGCGGGUCUUUAAGUCAGGGGUGAAAUCCUGGAGCUCAACUCCAGAACUGCCUUUGAUACUGAGGAUCUUGAGUCCGGGAGAGGUGAGUGGAAUUGCGAGUGUAGAGGUGAAAUUCGUAGAUAUUCGCAAGAACACCAGUGGCGAAGGCGGCUCACUGGCCCGGUACUGACGCUGAGGUGCGAAAGCGUGGGGAGCAAACAGG